rnacentral:rRNA from 1 species
GACGAACGCUGGCGGCGUGCUUAACACAUGCAAGUCGAACGGUGAAGCGCCUUCCUUUUUGGUGGGUGUGGAUGAGUGGCGAACGGGUGAGUAACACGUGAGUAACAUGCCCCCUUCUUCUGGAUAACCGCAUGAAAGUGUGGCUAAUACGGGAUAUUCUGGGUCUGUCGCAUGAUGGGUCUGGGAAAGAUAUUGUUUCGGUGUGGGAUGGGCUCGCGGCCUAUCAGCUUGUUGGUGGGGUGAUGGCCUACCAAGGCGGUGACGGGUAGCCGGCCUGAGAGGGUGGACGGUCACACUGGGACUGAGACACGGCCCAGACUCCUACGGGAGGCAGCAGUGGGGAAUAUUGCACAAUGGGCGCAAGCCUGAUGCAGCGACGCCGCGUGAGGGAUGGAGGCCUUCGGGUUGUGAACCUCUUUCGCCAGUGAAGCAGGCCUGCCUCGUUUGUGGGUGGGUUGACGGUAGCUGGAUAAGAAGCGCCGGCUAACUACGUG